rnacentral:rRNA from 1 species
UACGUAGGGUGCAAGCGUUGUCCGGAAUUAUUGGGCGUAAAGAGCUCGUAGGCGGUUUGUCGCGUCUGCUGUGAAAACCCGAGGUUCAACCUCGGGCCUGCAGUGGGUACGGGCAGACUAGAGUGCGGUAGGGGAGAUUGGAAUUCCUGGUGUAGCGGUGGAAUGCGCAGAUAUCAGGAGGAACACCAAUGGCGAAGGCAGAUCUCUGGGCCGUAACUGACGCUGAGGAGCGAAAGCAUGGGGAGCGAACAGG